rnacentral:rRNA from 1 species
AGGAUGAACGCCGGCGGCGUGCUUAACACAUGCAAGUCGAACGAUGAUCCCAGCUUGCUGGGGGAUUAGUGGCGAACGGGUGAGUAACACGUGAGUAACCUGCCCUUGACUCUGGGAUAAGCCUGGGAAACUGGGUCUAAUACUGGAUAUGACCUUCUGGCGCAUGCCAUGUUGGUGGAAAGCUUUAUUGCGGUUUUGGAUGGACUCGCGGCCUAUCAGCUUGUUGGUGGGGUAAUGGCCUACCAAGGCGACGACGGGUAGCCGGCCUGAGAGGGUGGACGGCCACACUGGGACUGAGACGCGGCCCAGACUCCGUACGGGAGGCAGCAGUGGGGAAUAUUGCACAAUGGGCGCAAGCCUGAUGCAGCGACGGCCGGCGGUGGGGGAUGGAAGGUCCGUUCGGGUUACGUAAACCUUCGUUUACGAGGUUAAGGGAACGAAGGACGGAAAGUGAACCGGUACCUGACGAAGAAAGAACGCGCCGGACUAACGUACCGUGCCAGCCAGCCCGGACGUAAUCGUAGA